UUCUAAGUAUUGAAUAUAACCUACAGACUAGGUUCAUGUUAUUAUUAUUCAAAUUUUAUCUCAUUAGAUAUUACAGCUGAGAUAUUAUAUUAUAUAAAAUUAAACACUGAAAAUGAAUUAGAUGGUAUCCUUGGCAAGGAAGCUUGGAAAGGAAUGUUGACAGGAAAAAAUUAAGAGGAUAUGAUGAAUGUCAUACAGGUAUCGCUUCAUAGCAGGCGCGGUUCAAGGGGAGAGAUGGAUGUAUGACAGGUGAUAAAGUUAUAUAAGAGAAAGUCUAUAAGAGAAGUCUGAGAUUCAGUCCAAGAUUCUAUUAUUACCAUAAUAAUGGUAUUAACCAUAAUAUAAGUACAGAAGUUAAAACUUGGCAAUACUUUUCAAGUUAUUGAAGGAUUUAUAAAAAAAAAUUUAAAUUGUAAAACUAAAAAGCCACAAAAAGGGUUAAAUAAAUGUAGUGGCCCGAACCGGACAGCUCGGAACAGAACACUAAAAUGACUAUAUCCAAUAAGAACGUGGUUAAUACUUAAAAACUUUGUGACAUGGUUAUACAAAAUAAAACGCCUUUAUAAAUGUA